GACGAACGCUGGCGGCGUGCUUAAUACAUGCAAGUCGAACGGAAAGGCCCUGCUUUUGCUGGUUGGUCGAUAGGGGAACGGGGGAGUGACACGUGAGUAACCCGCCCUUGUCUGUGUGGGAUCUUCAGGAAACUGGGGCUCAUACAGGAUAUGAUAUCUUGCUCCGUGUUGGUGGUUGGAAAGUUUCGGCGGUGGGGGAUGGUCUAGCUGCUUAUCAGCUUGUUUGGGGGGUAGUUGCGUACCAGGGCUUCGAAGGGUAGCCUGCAUGAGAGGGUGACCGGCCACAAUGGGACUGAGAUACGGCGCAGAAGCCUACGGGAGGCAGCAGUGGGGAGCAUUGCACAACGGGGGGAAGCGUGAGGCAGAAACGCUGCGUGCGGGAUGACGGGCUUCGGGUGAUAAACCAAUUUCGAAGGUGACGAAGCGUGAGUGACGGUACCUGAUAAAGAAGCCACGGCUAACUACGUG
rnacentral:rRNA from 1 species